rnacentral:rRNA from 1 species
UACGAGGGGUGCAAGCGUUGCUCGGAAUUAUUGGGCGUAAAGGGGAGGUAGGUGGUCUCAUUUGUCUGGGGUGAAAGCCUUGAGCUUAACUCAAGAAGUGCCCCAGAAACGGUGAGACUAGAGUCCUGGAGAGGGUCGUGGAAUUCCCGGUGUAGCGGUGAAAUGCGUAGAUAUUGGAAAGAACACCGAUGGCGAAGGCACUUUACUGGGCUAUUACUAACACUCAGAGACGAAAGCUAGGGUAGCAAAUGGG